UCUCUCUCUUCCCCCCCUCUCUCUCGUACGCUCUCCCUCUUUCUCAUCAUCCCACAGUUUCAUCUCUCUUACUCCCCAUCUCAUCCUUCACCAUAACAUCCACACCACAGCCUCCACCACCAUCUACAAAUCAAUCACUCGUAAGAGUGAGGGAGUGGCCGAGUGAGAGAAGCCGGCGGGAGAGAAGUUCUGGCGAGGAGGAGGAGUUCCGGCCGAGAGAGUUCUUGUGGCCGUUUGUGGUGACGCGGCGGUGCUUGGCAACGGCGGCAAUGAAGCUUCUUGCUCCUUCUUUCCUCUGGCUCCAUGGAAGGAUAAGGCUCCUCCAUGAAAUUUGAUCUUUGGAUGUCAAUAAACUCAGGUGACUAGAAAAAUCACUAUGACCACAAUUUCAGAAAGAGAUGAAUGAUGGUUGGGUUGGUUUGGAAAAGUCACCUGAUGGAUCUUUCAAGAAGAAGAUUCUGGAUUAGGGGUAUGGCUUUUGUCUAGGGUUAAGCCAUCAGAGAUUUUUUUGAAAUCUAUAUCAAAGGAAGUUACUGGUGUUGAAGUCAUUUAUCCAUCAAGUGGUAUGCAGGUUUGCUAUGUAGCAUUCUGGGAUGAAAUCACUCUAAAAGCUCAAGAGUUGGUGGGUCGCAGAGUUGGGGACGAUGGAUUUGUUGGAAAAUGGCGUAUUAUUGUUGUUCAGGAUCUUCCCUUUUCUGAUCAAAGGUUGAAUGGCAAAAUUCCCAAGGCCAGCAAAUAAAGCUGCAGGGAUGGCAUCUAACACUUGAUAGUGGAAAAUAUAAAGGAUGGAUUAGCUUGAAAGUUUUAAUCAUCUGUGUUAUAAGAGGAUGACAGAACCUGCCUCUAACGUGGCAUCUUGCAGUGGAACCGCCAUGGAGAAGUCGUCAUCUCCGCCUUCUGAAAUAGCAAUUGGAAUUGACAUUGGUACAUCACCAUGCUGUGUUUCUGUGUGGAAUGGUUCCCAUUAUGGAAAAUUCAUGCUCCACCAAAGUCUAAACAUUUACUUUGGCGCAUUUGUAGAGACUGUUUACCAACACGAGUUUGAUUGCAAGAAAGCAAGGAAGGACUCACUGCCUUGGUGGAGUAUAAUGAAAAGAAAAUAUUUGAGGUGACACUGAAGGAAAUGAAGUCUGCUUUAACAACACAGAUAACAGAGGAGGCUGAUAUAUCUGAAGUUAUUGAGACUGUGAAGCUUCGGGUUAGAGAUGCUAAGUUGCCAGAAACUGAGAUUGUGUGGAUCUUAUGGGAUGUUUUAAUGGAUGAUGUUCAGUGGUCUGGUAAAAAUCAGCAACAGAAUGCAAAUGCUGCCCUGCGCAAGGUAAAAACUUGGGCAGAACUGUUGAAUACUUUCUGCACCAGUGGAAAACUUGAGCUGGAACUGAUGUACAAAGUACAGAUGCAAUGCUAUGAGGAUGCUAAACUGAUGAAACCGUUCCCUGAGAUUAUUAGAUCUCUCUAUGACCAAGAUGUGCUGGCUGAAGAUACCAUUCUUCAUUGGUUCCAUAAAGGAACAAACCCCAAAGGAAGGCAAACCUUUGUGAAGGCACUGGAACCCUUUGUUAAUUGGCUGGAAGAGGCUGAAGAAGAGGAGUGAAUGUGACUGAGGUUUAGGGCCAGAGAUAGUGCACUGAUUCUAACUUCUGCAUUAAUUUUCUCUCAUUAUGUCUCUUUGUAAUAUUUCAAUUAAUGGAAUUUCUUUAGUUUUGUUUGGUCGGUGGAAUGAGAUUUUUAUUGAGCAUGGCUUAAGUGGUGGGGAUUGAAACAUAAAUGAAAAACUUCUAUAUACACCAUGCAUGUUCUCAUUUAAACUAAUGAGGUGAAAAGUACAAGCAAUACUAAUGAGGGAACUUUAGAUUGUAGGAUAUGAUAGAAGAUUAUCAAUUUGGUUUGGGGCCUUAGAUCUAUAUGCGACAUGAUUUCCUAAAGAGGGAGGGACCUGGAGUUUGAAGUUAUCAACCAAAUUAAUGGAAAAAAGGAGUUGUGAUUAUUUUUGAAUUAUGAUGUUUUUCUUUAAAGUAUAUCCUAAUGUACUCUUGCAUCCUUAUUGUGCAUUGAAACUUUUUUUUCUUCAUAUUGUCAUGAUAAUGAUAAUUUAUGUGGUUGUUUUUGUAAA